AUUAAAGAGAGUUUGAUCCUGGCUCAGGACGAACGCUGGCGGCGUGCCUAAUACAUGCAAGUAGAACGCUGAGAACUGGUGCUUGCACCGGUUCAAGGAGUUGCGAACGGGUGAGUAACGCGUAGGUAACCUACCUCAUAGCGGGGGAUAACUAUUGGAAACGAUAGCUAAUACCGCAUAAGAGAGACUAACGCAUGUUAGUAAUUUAAAAGGGGCAAUUGCUCCACUAUGAGAUGGACCUGCGUUGUAUUAGCUAGUUGGUGAGGUAAAGGCUCACCAAGGCGACGAUACAUAGCCGACCUGAGAGGGUGAUCGGCCACACUGGGACUGAGACACGGCCCAGACUCCUACGGGAGGCAGCAGUAG
rnacentral:rRNA from 1 species